rnacentral:lncRNA from 1 species
UUUGUUUGUUUGUUUGUUUGUUUGUUUGUUUGUUUGUUUGUUUGUUUGUUUGUUUGUUUGUUUGUUUGUUUGUUUGUUUGUUUGUUUGUUUGUUUGUUUGUUUGUUUGUUUGUUUGUUUGUUUGUUUGUUUGUUUGUUUGUUUGUUUAUUUAUUUGUUUAUUUUUUUCUUUUUAUUUUUUAAUUCCAGAAAUUUCCCUAUUGUUGCUUUCAGCAAAGAAAAAUGAAACAGUAAAAAAAAGUGUAGAUUUUAAUUUAUCUGAUAGUACUGGAGGUAAAUAUUAUAACUUAAAAUCCCAAAAGUUUAGCGCAACAAAUGCAUCCAUUGCUGAAAGUUUAAAUAACAGAUUGUUUAAAAAUCAUAGUCCUUCGAAAAUGAAAAAUUGGGGGCUCUCUAAUCAGAGAGAAACAGUUGAUAGUUUGGUGAGUGUAGAUAAAUGUACUUUUCCAAAUGAAUGCACACAAAAUAUAAAUAACAAAUUAACAAACUGUUAUAAAGAAAAAUUAAGUAGUAUUUUGCUUAUGAGAAGUGAACGUUCUUCUUUAUCUAGUAAAAUUUGUACACAAGAAGAAGAUGAUGUAUAUUAUGCAUCAACUAAAGACUACUCUACUGAGGGAAACUAUUCUUCUCCAUUAGGUUCAGAUAGUAUGACAGAAGAAGAAGAAGAAGAAUGUGAAGAUGUAAUGAUGAAUAAAACAAAUAAUUGUUCUGUUCUUGUUACACCAAACACUAAUAGAAAUAGUAAUGAAAAUACUAAUGUAAGAGAAGAAGAGAAAAGGAGUGAGGAUGAUAGAAGUAAAGGUGAUCACGAUAUGGAUAAAACUAUAUUGCAUAAACAGUCUAACACAUCUAUAAUAAAAAUUAAAAGCAAAAAAGAUGCAGUUACAAUAAAAAAUAGACCAAAUAAAACACAUAUAGACUCAACACAUAUAGCUCACUUAAAUAAAACUAAAGCUACACCUUUAAAGGAGAAAAAUGACGCAACAGAAAAAAAAAAAAAAAGUUUAAAAGCGUUUUUCAGUUUUUUAAAACCUCAGAAAAAAAAUAAGAAUGAAAAUAAUUAUAGUAAUAAUCAUAAAAAAAAUAAACAAAAUAUUUUGAAAAAUAAAGAAAAUGAUCGUUCAUGUCAUGAUCCAC